AGAGUUUGAUCCUGGCUCAGAAUGAACGUUGGCGGCGUGGAUUAGGCAUGCAAGUCGAACGGGCCCGGUCGCAAGAUCGGGUCAGUGGCGCAAGGGUGAGUAAGGCGACGGCAACCUACCCCGGGAUUGGGCAUAGCCGCGGGAAACUGCGGGUAAUACCCAGCGAUGUUCGCAGCGGGCAUCCUCUGCGAUCCAAAGUU
rnacentral:rRNA from 1 species